AGGAUCAUUAUUGAAAUAAACCUGAUGAGUUGCUGCUGGUUCUCUAGGGAGCAUGUGCACACUUGUCAUCUUUAUAUAUCUCCACCUGUGCACCUUUUGUAGACCUGGAUAUCUCUCUGAGUGCCGAGCACUCAGGUUUGGGGAUUGACUUUAUGUCUCUUCUUACAUUUCUAGGCCUAUGUUUCUUCAUUAUACCCCAAUGUAUGUUAUAGAAUGUAAUUAAAGGGCUUGUGCCCUAUAAAUCUAUACAACUUUCAGCAACGGAUCUCUUGGCUCUCGCAUCGAUGAAGAACGCAGCGAAAUGCGAUAAGUAAUGUGAAUUGCAGAAUUCAGUGAAUCAUCGAAUCUUUGAACGCACCUUGCGCUCCUUGGUAUUCCGAGGAGCAUGCCUGUUUGAGUGUCAUUAAUAUCUCAACCUCUUUAACUUUAUUUGUAAAGUUGUUGGAUGUGGGGGUCUUUUUUUUGCUGGUCUUUUAAAGUUCAGCUCCCCUGAAAUACAUUAGCGGAACAAAUUUGUGGACCGUUCAUUGGUGUGAUAAAUAUCUACGCUAUUGACGUGAAGCAGAGUUCAGCUUCUAACAGUCCAUUGACUUGGACAAAUUUUCAUUAAUGUGACCUCAAAUCAGGUA
rnacentral:rRNA from 1 species